rnacentral:misc_RNA from 1 species
AAGAAUGCAAGGUCCAAAAGU